UACGUAGGGUGCAAGCGUUAUCCGGAAUUAUUGGGCGUAAAGAGCUCGUAGGCGGUUUGUCACGUCUGCUGUGAAAACUGGAGGCUCAACCUCCAGCCUGCAGUGGGUACGGACAGACUAGAGUGCGGUAGGGGAGAUUGGAAUUCCUGGUGUAGCGGUGGAAUGCGCAGAUAUCAGGAGGAACACCGAUGGCGAAGGCAGAUCUCUGGGCCGUAACUGACGCUGAGGAGCGAAAGCAUGGGGAGCGAACAGG
rnacentral:rRNA from 1 species